GACGAACGCUGGCGGCGUGCUUAACACAUGCAAGUCGAACGGAAAGGCCCUGCUUUUGUGGGGUGCUCGAGUGGCAAACGGGUGAGUAACACGUGAGUAACCUGCCCUUGACUUUGGGAUAACUUCAGGAAACUGGGGCUAAUACCGGAUAGGAGCUCCUGCUGCAUGGUGGGGGUUGGAAAGUUUCGGCGGUUGGGGAUGGACUCGCGGCUUAUCAGCUUGUUGGUGGGGUAGUGGCUUACCAAGGCUUUGACGGGUAGCCGGCCUGAGCGGGUGACCGGCCACAUUGGGACUGCGAUACGGACCAGCAUCCUACGGGAGGCAGCAGUGGGGAAUAUUGCACAAUGGGCGGAAGCCUGAUGCAGCAACGCCGCGUGCGGGAUGACGGCCUUCGGGUUGUAAACCGCUUUCGCCUGUGACGAAGCGUGAGUGACGGUAAUGGGUAAAGAAGCACCGGCUAACUACGUG
rnacentral:rRNA from 1 species